rnacentral:pre_miRNA from 1 species
UGAACAGAUUAUUGUAUUCGAUUGUAUUCACGGCGUGAAACACCGAGAAUACACUAUUUUUAAACGGAAAGUGAAUCAAUUAACAUAACAGACUCCU